rnacentral:lncRNA from 1 species
GAAUAUCCAAAUGUCAACUCUUUUAAAAUUUCUUUCCUUUCGAGGCCCCCCUAAAUCCAUGGGAUUGGAUUGAUGAAGAUAUUAUGACAUGCUUGAUUCUUUCUUGCUUUGGAACAUUUUGAAUUAUAAUCAACCUCCUUGAUUUCCUUCCUUGUGAGGCCUCCGCCACGUGCACAUAAUCCUCUGAAAAUCUUGGGCUCAAAUCCUUGACUUGGGCUUGGAUCUCCAAGCUUUCUUAAAUUGCCACCCAUUUUUAUUACAUAUAAUAUAUAAUAAAAU